rnacentral:rRNA from 1 species
GACGAACGCUGGCGGCGUGCUUAACACAUGCAAGUCGAGCGGUAAGGCCUUUCGGGGUACACGAGCGGCGAACGGGUGAGUAACACGUGGGUGAUCUGCCCUGCACUUCGGGAUAAGCCUGGGAAACUGGGUCUAAUACCGGAUAUGACCUCCUAUCGCAUGGUGGGUGGUGGAAAGAUUUAUCGGUGCAGGAUGGGCCCGUGGCCUAUCAGCUUGUUGGUGGGGUAAUGGCCUACCAAGGCGACGACGGGUAGCCGACCUGAGAGGGUGACCGGCCACACUGGGACUGAGACACGGCCCAGACUCCUACGGGAGGCAGCAGUGGGGAAUAUUGCACAAUGGGCGAAAGCCUGAUGCAGCGACGCCGCGUGAGGGAUGACGGCCUUCGGGUUGUAAACCUCUUUCAGCAGGGACGAAGCGCAAGUGACGGUACCUGCAGAAGAAGCACCGGCUAACUACGUG